rnacentral:misc_RNA from 1 species
UUUCCGUAGGUGAAUCUGCGGAAGGAUCAUUAAACAUCAUCGGGGAGUUGGAUCCAGAUGGUAGGGCUUCGGUCUUGCUUUCUGCCCUUCUCUUACUGAUUAUACCCAUGUCUUUUGCGUACUAUUUGUUUCCUUGGUGGGCUUGCCUGCCGAUAGGACAUCAUUAAACCUUUUGUAAUUGCAGUCAGCGUCAGAAAAACAUAAUAAUUACAACUUUCAACAACGGAUCUCUUGGUUCUG